rnacentral:lncRNA from 1 species
GCUGACUUCUGCUGGCAUUGUGUUUACUCAGCUCUUCACAUCCUCGCGCAAGCAAAACUGAAAACCUGCUUAAGAAUUCAAUUGAAGUAUCAGAUAAAAUGAAAUAUACUGACCUACAGAGCCUUCUUCCGAACUUGAUUUAUGAAUGGAGAGCUUUCUUUCAGUGUCAGGUGUUGAUGCGGUGCUGCUGAGACCAAGUGACUCCUCAAUCUGGGAUCGCAGUUGUAGAGAUGUGGGACUGGCAUCAGGUUUCUCCACAUCAAGGUCCUGGGAAACCCUCCGUUUGCGCAGCUCUUCCAUCCUCUCACACACAUCCGUGAAGCAGGUGUUGUAAUAAUCUGCAUACUGCUGUGCGAGGUCAUCAAUGUUUCCCAGAGACCCAUCCAGAAUGCCCAUCACGUCGGCCCACAGCUGCGCGAACGCCUCCGACGGGCCGCUCUCCGACGGGCCGCCCGGGCCCCGCUCCCCC